UACAGAGGGGGCAAGCGUUGUUCGGAAUUACUGGGCGUAAAGGGCGCGUAGGCGGCCUCUUAAGUCGAACGUGAAAUCCCCGGGCUCAACCCGGGAACUGCGUCCGAUACUGGGAGGCUUGAAUCCGGGAGAGGGAUGUGGAAUUCCAGGUGUAGCGGUGAAAUGCGUAGAUAUCUGGAGGAACACCGGUGGCGAAGGCGGCAUCCUGGACCGGUAUUGACGCUGAGGCGCGAAAGCCAGGGGAGCAAACGGG
rnacentral:rRNA from 1 species